CGGUGGAUGCCCUGGCAGUCAGAGGCGAUGAAGGGCGUGCUAAUCUGCGAUAAGCGCCGGUAAGGUGAUAUGAACCGUUAUAACCGGCGAUACCCGAAUGGGGAAACCCAGUGUGAUUCGUCACACUAUCAUUAACUGAAUCCAUAGGUUAAUGAGGCGAACCGGGGGAACUGAAACAUCUAAGUACCCCGAGGAAAAGAAAUCAACCGAGAUUCCCCCAGUAGCGGCGAGCGAACGGGGAGGAGCCCAGAGCCUGAAUCAGCAUGUGUGUUAGUGGAAGCGUCUGGAAAGGCGCGCGAUACAGGGUGACAGCCCCGUACACAAAAGCGCAUGUGCUGUGAGCUCGAUGAGUAGGGCGGGACACGUGGUAUCCUGUCUGAAUAUGGGGGGACCAUCCUCCAAGGCUAAAUACUCCUGACUGACCGAUAGUGAACCAGUACCGUGAGGGAAAGGCGAAAAGAACCCCGGCGAGGGGAGUGAAAAAGAACCUGAAACCGUGUACGUACAAGCAGUGGGAGCNNNNNNNNNNNNNNNNNNNNNNNNNNNNNNNNNNNNNNNNNNNNNNNNNNNNNNNNNGGGCGUUAAGUUGCAGGGUAUAGACCCGAAACCCGGUGAUCUAGCCAUGGGCAGGUUGAAGGUUGGGUAACACUAACUGGAGGACCGAACCGACUAAUGUUGAAAAAUUAGCGGAUGACCUGUGGCUGGGGGUGAAAGGCCAAUCAAACCGGGAGAUAGCUGGUUCUCCCCGAAAGCUAUUUAGGUAGCGCCUCGUGAAUUCAUCUCCGGGGGUAGAGCACUGUUUCGGCUAGGGGGCCAUCCCGGCUUACCAACCCGAUGCAAACUGCGAAUACCGGAGAAUGUUAUCACGGGAGACACACGGCGGGUGCUAACGUCCGUCGUGAAGAGGGAAACAACCCAGACCGCCAGCUAAGGUCCCAAAGUCAUGGUUAAGUGGGAAACGAUGUGGGAAGGCCCAGACAGCCAGGAUGUUGGCUUAGAAGCAGCCAUCAUUUAAAGAAAGCGUAAUAGCUCACUGGUCGAGUCGGCCUGCGCGGAAGAUGUAACGGGGCUAAACCAUGCACCGAAGCUGCGGCAGCGAACGUAUCACCCAAGACAACUUUACGGAGUUGACGAUUGACGGAGCGAAGCGACGUCAAAGCGUUCAUUAAAGUCGAGUUGGCUUAGGGAUACGUUCGUUGGGUAGGGGAGCGUUCUGUAAGCCUGUGAAGGUGUGUCGUGAGGCAUGCUGGAGGUAUCAGAAGUGCGAAUGCUGACAUAAGUAACGAUAAAGCGGGUGAAAAGCCCGCUCGCCGGAAGACCAAGGGUUCCUGUCCAACGUUAAUCGGGGCAGGGUGAGUCGACCCCUAAGGCGAGGCCGAAAGGCGUAGUCGAUGGGAAACGGGUUAAUAUUCCCGUACUUGGUGUUACUGCGAAGGGGGGACGGAGAAGGCUAUGUUGGCCGGGCGACGGUUGUCCCGGUUUAAGCGUGUAGGUGUGUGUUCCAGGUAAAUCCGGUUCACUUUAACACUGAGGCGUGACGACGAGGCACUACGGUGCUGAAGCAACAAAUGCCCUGCUUCCAGGAAAAGCCUCUAAGCAUCAGGUAACACGAAAUCGUACCCCAAACCGACACAGGUGGUCAGGUAGAGAAUACCAAGGCGCUUGAGAGAACUCGGGUGAAGGAACUAGGCAAAAUGGUGCCGUAACUUCGGGAGAAGGCACGCUGACACGUAGGUGAAGUGAUUUACUCAUGGAGCUGAAGUCAGUCGAAGAUACCAGCUGGCUGCAACUGUUUAUUAAAAACACAGCACUGUGCAAACACGAAAGUGGACGUAUACGGUGUGACGCCUGCCCGGUGCCGGAAGGUUAAUUGAUGGGGUCAGCGCAAGCGAAGCUCCUGAUCGAAGCCCCGGUAAACGGCGGCCGUAACUAUAACGGUCCUAAGGUAGCGAAAUUCCUUGUCGGGUAAGUUCCGACCUGCACGAAUGGCGUAAUGAUGGCCAGGCUGUCUCCACCCGAGACUCAGUGAAAUUGAACUCGCUGUGAAGAUGCAGUGUACCCGCGGCAAGACGGAAAGACCCCGUGAACCUUUACUAUAGCUUGACACUGAACAUUGAGCCUUGAUGUGUAGGAUAGGUGGGAGGCUUUGAAGUGUGGACGCCAGUCUGCAUGGAGCCGACCUUGAAAUACCACCCUUUAAUGUUUGAUGUUCUAACGUGGACCCGUAAUCCGGGUUGCGGACAGUGUCUGGUGGGUAGUUUGACUGGGGCGGUCUCCUCCUAAAGAGUAACGGAGGAGCACGAAGGUUGGCUAAUCCUGGUCGGACAUCAGGAGGUUAGUGCAAUGGCAUAAGCCAGCUUGACUGCGAGCGUGACGGCGCGAGCAGGUGCGAAAGCAGGUCAUAGUGAUCCGGUGGUUCUGAAUGGAAGGGCCAUCGCUCAACGGAUAAAAGGUACUCCGGGGAUAACAGGCUGAUACCGCCCAAGAGUUCAUAUCGACGGCGGUGUUUGGCACCUCGAUGUCGGCUCAUCACAUCCUGGGGCUGAAGUAGGUCCCAAGGGUAUGGCUGUUCGCCAUUUAAAGUGGUACGCGAGCUGGGUUUAGAACGUCGUGAGACAGUUCGGUCCCUAUCUGCCGUGGGCGCUGGAGAACUGAGGGGGGCUGCUCCUAGUACGAGAGGACCGGAGUGGACGCAUCACUGGUGUUCGGGUUGUCAUGCCAAUGGCACUGCCCGGUAGCUAAAUGCGGAAGAGAUAAGUGCUGAAAGCAUCUAAGCACGAAACUUGCCCCGAGAUGAGUUCUCCCUGAGACUUAGAGUCUCCUGAAGGAACGUUGAAGACGACGACGUUGAUAGGCCGGGUGUGUAAGCGCAGCGAUGCGUUGAGCUAACCGGUACUAAUGAACCGUGAGGCUUAACCUUACAACGCCGAAG
rnacentral:rRNA from 1 species